GUGACCACUUCGGCGGCAAGUACACUAAGACUGGAUGAUCCGAGAAGUCGGGCACAGCCUCUGUGCAAAGAUGACAUGUAAAUUCAUGAAGCAUUCCAUAUUUAA
ensembl:snRNA U6 U6 spliceosomal RNA